UGCUGCACCGCGGGGAGCUGAGCGGGGUCCGGGCUGGGAGCUGGAAGGGAUUUGGGUUGGGUUUGUUCAGCAGGAUGCGCUGGUCGGGGUCUCUGGGAUUGGCUCUUGUUCUCCUUCAGGAGUUCAGUACGGAGAUCGGUGGGCUACCGCUGUGAAACACCUCAUCUUGUGUUACACACCAGGGUACCCCCGUGCUCCUCUCCCUCCAGGACCAGCGCAUCUCACGCUGCCCUGCUCCAGCUCCAUCACAGGGCUUCAACCAGGUGGUGCUUCCAACUGCUUGGCAGGAGCGCAGCCUCCCUGCAUCCUCGAGGCCACCGCAGAGUGCACUCAGGGAGUGUUAGCAUCCAAAGCGUCUGCUGAGAGCCCAGGGCACACUGUAAGUGUGUAAAGGAAAAGAGGGGUUUCCUCAUAGCCACCAAACGCACUGUGAUCAUCAGAGCAGGGCUUGGGGCUGCGAGGAGGCUGAGGCUGCUGAUACUAUCAAGAGAAAGAAGCAUCCCAUCAUGGGUGGAAUCCAGUGGAGGAGGACAGCUAAAGGGAGAAUGAUGAAGAGGCCUCAGUAUUUGUCUGAGGCCAAGGACCAAAUUUACUGCCAGUGAUGAGCACACAGACACUGGGACAGGCUGCAUGGGAAGGUGCCCAGGUGGGUCUCUAUCUGCUGCUCUGUUUCCAUGCAGGCUGAUUCUGUGCCCAGAGAGAAGCACGGACUUUUCCACUCCCAGGCACCCGAGGCGUGCACAUCCCCACAGCCUUUCCAGCAGUCUGGGUUUGUUUAAUGGCAAAUUAAGGCCCUGUUGCAGACACACCGGUUUUGAUGUGAUUUCAAGCCUCAGCAAAGGCUGCAAGCACAGCUUGAAAAUGCGUGUGUAUAUGAAAUACAACCCAAGGCAUAGACACAGAGCUGGCAGCCUGGCUCAUUUUGGUGCCAGCACUUUCCGGUGCAAUGCUUUCUCACCAGGCUGUGCUCAGUUGUCCCUUAUCCCUGCAGCUGAAGUGGGGACCAGGAUUACACAGGGCUCAGUGAAUCAGGGAUUUUGUCUGCUGGUCAAAAUGCAACAUGCCCCAGGAUGUUGGUAGGUAACACUGGCAGAACAAUGAGUAGGGGUGAAGGGGAAAAGUGCUGACAUGGGCAUGGACAUCCUGCAACACCGCUCUGUUCAAAGGGGUGAGUUUACCCCUGGAGACCAGGGAGAAGGGCAGAAGGCACAGCACAGAGCUGUCACAGGGCAGGAGCUCAGGGGGUCUCGGCCCACAGGGCUGGCAAGGAGGAGCAGAUGGAAAAAGGAGCAAAAGGGUCCCCAUGAGAGCACCCUGGCUCCAGGUGCCACAGCCCAGGGUUACUCAUCAUUGCGUCUGGUAGUUCUUCUCCAGCAGCAGAGGAUGAGUCAAAGCGAACUGGCAGGACUUUAUCUCCAGCCUGCAGAACAUCUGACUGCAUCCUGAUGGGGAAAGCAGGCAGAAAAUGUGAGUGGUUUGGAUCUGGCUGAGCUGGGACCCACUCCAUCCCCUGAGAAUGGCUUUGGGCUGUUGCUGUGUACAGCGUCUUUGGGGUCAGAGGGAAGUGAUGCAGCUCAGCCCUCUGCCCUGCCCUCACUCUUUCCUGGGGCAUCACUACCCACAGAGCUUUGUUUGCCAGGUUCUGCUGCCUUCAUUUUCCUGCCUGUGGUUCAUGGGAAAGCUGUGGACUCCAUGAAGCACAAACUGCCAACAGACAGCUCUUAGGGCACCUCCUCUGCAGGCAGCCUGGGGCUGCUGGCAUCCCACAGAGCACUCCAGACAAGAAGCAAGGCAUUAUUUUUCAUUUUUUCCUAUCUCAAGGACAAGACGUGGACAAACCCCCUGGGUUGCAUUGUCUGCUUAGGGAACUCAAAGGGGAAACAUCUCUGUUGUGUCUCCUGCCAGUGCAAAAGGGCAGAUGAGAGAAAGCAGAGAGGGCCAGGGCUGGUGGGGAGCAGCAAGAUGCUUGCUGCUGUGUGGAGGAGCAGGGCAGUGUGGGGCACCCCAGCAGUGGGACGGCUGCCAUGGCCCAGUGAGGUUCUGCAGAGCUGCACCUGGCUGCUGCCUGAGCUGAAUGGAAAUGGAAGGGAUACAGAUGAGCUAAAGAAGAGUGGUAAUGAAUGAAGAGAGGUGAGGGGUGCCUUUUGACCUCACAGAUACCCAGAUAGAAAUGCCUCAAAUUCAGAUCCUACUUUGAUUUUUGCCCAGACCCUGCGUUAAGGUGAAUCCCUUCUCACCCAGGCCUCACCCAUAGCCCACCCUGACCAGGAAAUGCUGAUGUGAGUGGUUGGCAUCUGAGGAUUCCUCCUCCUACCUCCUCCUUUCCUUUCAAGUGACUGUGGGAAGCAACAACUCUUUUUCUCUUAUUAUUUCCUCAUCCAUCAAUGCAAUUCCAGGGGUGAGAAGUCUGAAAUAAAAGGUGAGCAAAGAAACUUCACACCUCCCCUGAACAUUCCUGCUCACAAAAUAAUUAAAGAUAGAUGGGCCAAGAGCUGCACAGCAAAGAUAGAAAAGAAGGGUUGCAGCCAGGGGAGAGCUGGCGUUGCGGUCCUGCAGCCCGGGCUCCAUCCCAAAAGUUCAGGCUGUGCUCUCCCUGCUCCCCACCACAUGGGCAGGAAGGAGGAUCCUCUCCAGGGGCUGAAGAUGACUCAAAGUGUGUUGUUAAGAGGCUUUCCAGGAAAGAAAGGCCUGGAGAAAAGCUGAGUGUGUCUGGAUAGGGUCAUCGAGGGAGAGAGCAGCAAGGAACCCGAGCAUGUGGAGGUGACCACGUGGCCCACAUGGCACCACUGGCACCUGGUAAGGAAAUGCUGAGAGGCACAGAAAAAAAUCCUAACAAGUUUUUACCUGAUUUCCAGCUGGUGUUGCAGGUCCUGAGUUGCUGCUGGUUCAUAUAUCUAGAAAGCAUUCAUAAUCCCCCUCUUUUCAUCCCCUGGUAUUCAAGGCUUGCUCCCAUUUAAAGGAAGAUGGCCGUGGGAAAAGCAGCUUUCAUAGGAUCGUGGAGUAGAACAUCCAGAGUUGGGAGGGACACGUGGGGAUCAUUGAGUCCAACAGGUUUUUUCAAGGAAGCUCUGAAGCAAGGCUCUCCGGAUUACUUCAGUGCUAAGGCUGGGGUGCCUCCAUCGGGACAAAGCGCAGCUCCGAACCAGCCCGUGGCAAGGCAGCCCUCUGCUGGUACUACGAGCGAUGCGAUGCGAUGCUUUGCAUUGAAAAUCAAAAUUCAGUUCAAAAUAGACAAUAAAGACGUGGAUGCUGGCAGGUUGAGGAAGCCGAGUUUGCGUCCUUUGGGGUGAAAUCACUGCAUGCUUUUGCUCUCGGCACCCAGCUUUGCUGUGAGCGCAGCACCCGCCUUUCGUGGGGCCGAUGCAGCUCUGCAGUCUUCUGUCCCAGCACUGCAAUCGACUUUUAGAGCCAUAGAAUCACCAAAUGAUCCCAAUUCUAAGGUUCCCUGUGGGAACUACAGCGCUGCACCGAGGGAUGGAUAAAACAGGUUUGUACGUGGAAGGAGGGGUUUGAGGCAUUCGAUGCUGUAGCAGCAGCACUUGCGAGCCACGGGAGCCCUCUCGUGGCUGUGCUGAAUGCAUUUAUGUUGAGAUCAUCUAUUCCUCUCCAUUCAGUCGCUUCUCACUCCAGCUCUCCAGCAAACCCAGCGCUGCAGCCAGAUCCCCAAGCGCAGCUCCCAACCUCUGCAGCGAAGGCAUUUCCCUGGGGAUGGACUCGCAGGACACGAGCCCAGGACCCCGAUUUAAAGCUCAGACGAAUGUUCCGAGCGAGAUUUCUUCCAACCUGCUUGUUUUAAGAGCAAAACGAAUGGAAUUGGUUGUGGGCGUGCGUCCUUCUGCCCUGCGAGCUCUCCGGGCUGCGGGGCGGCACUGACACCCAGCGGCAAUGCUCGGCAGCGGACGGCUGAGCUCCUCGCUCUGCUUUCUCCCCAUCGUCUGCCCCAUGCUGGGAUGAGGGCUGACGGCAAAGCAAACGGGAUGAACAGACCCGGCAGCCUGGCACAGCAGAGCGCCGCUGAGAUUCCCCAAAGGGGAAACAAACUGGUUGUACGAUGGGCAUCAUCCCCACGGCCAAAAACCCCCAGGAGAUGGGUGCUGGGCAGCACGAGCCCAGGGAGACACAGAAGAGCACAGUCACUGCAUGGCUGUGCAGGGCUGGGGACGUGCAGAGGGGAAGACGUUUGCAAGAUGCGUGAUCAAAAGGGUCUUUAAAUCACAGUGACUCCACUAAUGGCUUUCACAUGCUCAGACAGCCCUAUAGAAAUGCAAGCCACAGCCAGGGUUUGUCUAUGGGGUGAAGGACACCAGCAUGCCACGCUGCGAGGGUCUGAGGUGUGAAACCCCAGAAAGUGUUGAGGUGCCCCGUUCUGCCUGCAGGAGUCACAGCCAGGUGUGGGUCGCUGCCUUCGAGCUCAUAACGAGCCCAAUGAGGCUCAUAUCGGCCACAGGGAAUUCCAGCUACCGUGUGCUGAGGGCUGCUAAUGAAAACCAGCAGUGCCUCAGAGCAAAGAAGCAGCCACGUCCUCUGAGAUCAAAGAUGCAACGAGAGCGGAAAGCAGGGAAUAAAUUGCAUCCUGUUGGAGAGACGUGCCCUGCAUCGCCUGCAGCCUUACCUGGCCUAGUUCAGCACAGGGGCACCCCUCUGCCUUCCUGCAGCAAAACCUGGCUGUCAGCAAGCUCCUAAAGCAGCUUUGGGGCUGGAAGAGACAGAGGCAUGGCUCGCUUUUGGCUGCUGGUCCUGAUUUGUGUUUUUCUGCUGAUUUUCAAAUGCAAAUCUGAACUAUGACAAAGCCCCUCCAGCUGCAGCCGGGCGGCUGGGGAAGAGCAGCCAAGGCCGGGUGCUGGGGAAGCACGUUUGAUAUGAGGCCUCUCAGAGAUGUCCCAGACUGAAGCACAUUGUAGGUUGUAUUUCUUUCCUCCCUUCUCCUCCUACAGCCGCAGAAAACCACACUUUAAAAAACCAAGAAGCAAUCAGAGCCUUGGCCCCAGGGAGCGCUGCUAUUUGGAGCCUCUGUUUACUAUAUAGGUAGGGCUGUGGCUUUUAAGUGGAGAUAAUAAUAGCAAAACAGUUGUAAAUACAUCCUUGUGUAGAGGGAGUGCUGCCUGCAGUGGCCAGGAGCAAUUUCCCAACCACAGGAAAGCAGAAUUCCCAGGAAGCUGUGAUGCUGCUUCACCCAUUUGGAUCUUUUUAGGAUUAAGCUGAGGACAAAAA